GCGCCCUUAGCUCAGUGGAAUAGAGCGUCUGGCUACGAACCAGAAGGUCGGGAGUUCGAGUCUCUCAGGGCGCG
rnacentral:tRNA from 2 species